AACGUAGGAGGCAAGCGUUAUCCGGAUUUACUGGGCGUAAAGGGCGUGCAGGUGGUGGUCUAAGUGGUGCGUGAAAGCGCUCGGCUCAACCGGGCGAGGGCGUGCCAAACUGGGUCACUAGAAACAGGCAGAGGCAAGUGGAAUUCGGGGUGUAGCGGUGGAAUGCGUAGAGAUGUGGAGGAACACCGAUGGCGAAGGCAGCCUCCUGGGCCAACACUGACGCUCAUGCACGAAAGCGUGGGGAGCAAACAGG
rnacentral:rRNA from 1 species